rnacentral:rRNA from 1 species
GUAGGGUGCGAGCGUUGUCCGGAAUUAUUGGGCGUAAAGAGCUCGUAGGCGGCCUGUCACGUCGGAUGUGAAAACCCGGGGCUCAACCCCGGGCCUGCAUUCGAUACGGGCAGGCUAGAGUUCGGCAGGGGAGACUGGAAUUCCUGGUGUAGCGGUGAAAUGCGCAGAUAUCAGGAGGAACACCGGUGGCGAAGGCGGGUCUCUGGGCCGAUACUGACGCUGAGGAGCGAAAGCGUGGGGAGCGAACAGGAUUAGAUACCCUGGUAGUCCACGCCGUAAACGUUGGGCACUAGGUGUGGGCGUCAUUCCACGAUGUCCGUGCCGCAGCUAACGCAUUAAGUGCCCCGCCUGGGGAGUACGGCCGCAAGGCUAAA